GUCUCGAAGAUUUAGCCAUGCAUGUCUUAGUAUAAUCGUUAUACAGGUGAAACUGUGAAUGGCUCAUUAAAUCAGUUAUAAUUUAUUUGAUAGUGAAAUUACUACUUGGAUAACCGUGGUAAUUCUAGAGCUAAUACAUGCUAAAAACCUCGACUUCGGAAGGGGUGUAUUUAUUAGAUAAAAAACCAAUGC
rnacentral:rRNA from 1 species